CCUACGGGUGGCAGCAGUGGGGAAUAUUGGGCAAUGGGCGCAAGCCUGACCCAGCAAUGCCGCGUGAAGGAAGAAGGCUUUCGGGUUGUAAACUUCUUUUCUCAGGGACGAAUCAAGUGACGGUACCUGCGGAAGAAGCUACGGCUAACUACGUGCUAGCAUCCGCGGUAAUACGUAGGUGGCAAGCGUUAUCCGGAUUUACUGGGUGUAAAGGGCGUGUAGGCGGGGACGCAUGUCAGAUGUGAAAACCACGGGCUCAACCUGGGGGCUGCAUUUGAAACGGUGUUGCUUGAAUACCGGAGAGGCAGGAGGAAUGUGUGGUGUAGCGGUGAAAUGCGUAGAUAUUA
rnacentral:rRNA from 1 species